rnacentral:tRNA from 1 species
GGGGAUUUAGCUCAGUGGUAGAGCGCUUGCCUAGCAAGCACAAGGCUCUGGGUUCGGUUCCCAGCUCCG